rnacentral:rRNA from 1 species
CAAUACCGAGUGGCGAACGGGUGAGUAACACGUAGGUAACCUGCCCUUAAGCUUGGGAUACCCAGAGGAAACUUUGGCUAAUACCGGAUAACAACAGAGAAGGCAUCUUCUUUGCUUGAAACGGCCCCUUCGAAGGGUCACUUAAGGAUGGACCUGCGGCGCAUUAGCUAGUUGGUGAGAUAACAGCCCACCAAGGCGAGGAUGCGUAGCCGAACUGAGAGGUUGAUCGGCCACAUUGGAACUGAGACACGGUCCAAACUCCUACGGGAGGCAGCAGUAAGGAGUUUUCGGCAAGUGGGGGAAACCCUGACCGAGCAACGCCGCGUGAGCGAUGACGGCCCCUAUGGGUUGUAAAGCUCUGUUGUAAGCCAUGAAUGAUAGUCUUUAAGGAAAUAGAAAGCUAUUUGACGACAGCUUACCAGAAAGUCACGGCUAACUACGUGCCAGCCGCCGC